GAUGAACGCUGGCGGCGUGCCUAAUACAUGCAAGUCGAGCGAAUGGAUUAAGAGCUUGCUCUUAUGAAGUUAGUGGCGGACGGGUGAGUAACACGUGGGUAACCUGCCCAUAAGACUGGGAUAACUCCGGGAAACCGGGGCUAAUACCGGAUAAUAUUUUGAACUGCAUGGUUCAAAAUUGAAAGGCGGCUUCGGCUGUCACUUAUGGAUGGACCCGCGUCGCAUUAGCUAGUUGGUGAGGUAACGGCUCACCAAGGCAACGAUGCGUAGCCGACCUGGGAGGGUGAGCGGCCAAACUGGGACUGAGACACGGCCCAGACUCCUACGGGAGGCAGCAGUAGGGAAUCUUCCGCAAUGGACGAAAGUCUGACGGGGCAACGCCGCGUGAGUGAUGAAGGCUUUCGGGUCGUAAAACUCUGUUGUUAGGGAAGAACAAGUGCUAGUUGAAUAAGCUGGCACCUUGACGGUACCUAACCAGAAAGCCACGGCUAACUACGUGCCAGCCGCCGCGGUAA
rnacentral:rRNA from 1 species